rnacentral:rRNA from 1 species
UACGUAGGGGGCUAGCGUUGUCCGGAAUCAUUGGGCGUAAAGAGCGCGUAGGCGGCCAGAUAAGUCCGGUGUGAAAGUCAAAGGCUCAACCUUUGAAUGCCGCUGGAAACUGUCUGGCUAGAGUCCGGGAGGGGCGAGUGGAAUUCCUGGUGUAGCGGUGAAAUGCGCAGAUAUCAGGAGGAACACCAAUGGCGAAGGCAGCUCGCUGGAACGGUACUGACGCUGAGGCGCGAAAGCGUGGGGAGCAAACGGG